rnacentral:rRNA from 1 species
GAUGAACGCUGGCGGCGUGCCUAAUACAUGCAAGUCGAACGAGGUGCUUUUGUAGCAAUACGAGAGUAUCCUAGUGGUGAACGGGUGAGUAACGCGUUGGUGACCUACCCCAAAGUGUGGGAUAACAGUCCGAAAGGAUUGCUAAUACCGCAUGUGGUCAUUGGAUUUAGAAACUGAUGACUAAAGGAGCAAUUCGCUUUGGGAGGGACCUGCGUCCCAUCAGCUAGUUGGUGAGGUAAUGGCUUACCAAGGCGACGACGGGUAGGGGACCUGAGAGGGUGGCCCCCCACAAUGGAACUGAAACACGGUCCAUACACCUACGGGUGGCAGCAGUAGGGAAUAUUGCUCAAUGGGCGAAAGCCUGAAGCAGCAACGCCGCGUGUGUGAUGAAGGCCUUCGGGUCGCAAAGCACUUUUCUGGGAGAUGAGAAAGGACAGUAUCCCAGGAAUAAGUCUCGGCUAACUACGUGCCAGCCGCCGCCGUAAGAC